rnacentral:rRNA from 1 species
GAUGAACGCUGGCGGCGUGCCUAAUACAUGCAAGUCGAGCGAAGCGGGGACGGGUGAGUAACACGUGGAUAACCCCCUAUAAGGCUGGGGUAACUUCGGGAAAACGGAGCCAAAACGGCUUCUUAGAGAUGAUGCCUCGGUGCAUUAGCUAGUUGGUCAGCUAACGGCUUACCAAGGCAACGAUGCCUAGCCGACCUGAGAGGGUGAACGGCCACACUGGAACUGAGACACGGUCCAGACUCCUACGGGAGGCAGCAGUAGGGAAUCUUCCGCAAUGGGCGAAAGCCUGACGGAGCAACGCCGCGUGUGUGAUGAAGGUCUUCGGAUCGUAAAGCACUGUUAUGAGGGAAGCGGUACCUGAACAGAAAGCCACGGCUAACUCCGUGCCAGCCGCCGCGGUAAUUC